GAGUCACUGCCUAAAACCUUGUUCCCCAUCUCGUUUCUCUGCAACCCGAGGGCUAAGAGGAGAGAGCAGAGAUGAUAAGUAUUCCUUAAACCCUAGUUGGCAAUGGUGACGAUUGAAGUCGACCUCCAUUAAUGGUGUUAAGCUGUACCAUGUUUCAUCGGCGCCGAAUUUUGAGACUUGGCUUAAUCCCAAGAAGCAACUAGCACUCCGUAAAAUCCCCAGGCUUCCAAAUCGACAGGGAAUCAACUUAUUGCUGUUUCUUCAGAGAAGCAACGGUCUUUGUUGGAAGAACACUUCGAAUCCGUAAUGGAGGAUAGCGAAAACAACGAUUCCGACCCAUCGGCUUGAAUGCGUCGGAAUCUUCAGACGAGGGAUCCAAGAACGAGAGAAGAAAUCAAAAGCUCCGAAGCUUGCUCGAAUCAAAGGACAAACGGCACACAGAAGCGUUCUGCAACCAGGUCUCGCUCGCUAAAGAAGACGCUCUCUUCCUCUGGGAGAGUGAGUCAAGGCUCUUGAAGAAAGCCGGAGCAACGUCUCCGGGUCCCCAAGAGACGUGGAACUCAGCCCGGGAGAUUUCUUUCAGGGCAAGAAGCUCGGCCAAGUACAAGGACGAGGAGGAAGGAUAUGGAAACAAGAGGAGAGGAGUGCGGUCUCUUGGUCUGAAGCUAGUUAGAAUCCUCGGCGGUUUCAGAGGGAGAGGCAACCGCCGUGGAGCGGCGGAGGCCGGCGAUGAUUAUAUGUACCGUUGUUGUUUUGUGAUAUUCUUGUCGCCAUUUUGAAAUUUUGGAAUUAUGAAGAUUUAGAUCCAUGCCUGAUAUGAUAA